rnacentral:tRNA from 1 species
GGGAGGGGUUCCCGAGUGGCCAAAGGGAUCAGACUGUAAAUCUGACGCGCAAGCUUCGGUGGUUCGAAUCCACCCCCCCCCCACCA